rnacentral:rRNA from 1 species
UACGUAGGUGGCAAGCGUUGUCCGGAUUUACUGGGCGUAAAGAGCGCGCAGGCGGUCGUUCAAGUCGAGUGUGAAAGCCCCCGGCUCAACUGGGGAGGGUCACUCGAUACUGAUCGACUCGAAGGCAGGAGAGGGAAGCGGAAUUCCCGGUGUAGUGGUGAAAUGCGUAGAUAUCGGGAGGAACACCGGUGGCGAAGGCGGCGACCUGGGUAGAUACUGACGCUGAGGCGCGAAAGCGUGGGGAGCGAACAGG